rnacentral:rRNA from 1 species
GAUGAACGCUGGCGGCGUGCCUAAUACAUGCAAGUCGAGCGAACGGACGAGAAGCUUGCUUCUCUGAUGUUAGCGGCGGACGGGUGAGUAACACGUGGAUAACCUACCUAUAAGACUGGGAUAACUUCGGGAAACCGGAGCUAAUACCGGAUAAUAUUUUGAACCGCAUGGUUCAAAAGUGAAAGACGGUCUUGCUGUCACUUAUAGAUGGAUCCGCGCUGCAUUAGCUAGUUGGUAAGGUAACGGCUUACCAAGGCAACGAUGCAUAGCCGACCUGAGAGGGUGAUCGGCCACACUGGAACUGAGACACGGUCCAGACUCCUACGGGAGGCAGCAGUAGGGAAUCUUCCGCAAAGGGCGAAAGCCUGACGGAGCAACGCCGCGUGAGUGAUGAAGGUCCUCGGAUCGUAAAACUCUGUUAUUAGGGAAGAACAUAUGUGUAAGUAACUGUGCACAUCUUGACGGUACCUAAUCAGAAAGCCACGGCUAACUACGUG